CAGAAAACUGACGAAAGAGUAAAUUGAAAAGGGCAUUUCACCAUCCACUUCAAGCCAAAAACACAAAAAUGCUUGGCCGAACCAAGAGGAAAAGGACCCUCUCUCUCUUGAUAAACCCCAUAUCUCUCCUGCCUUCAGUCUCCUCUCUGUCCUCUCUGACGAGUCUCUGUCUGUCUGUCUGUCUCUCUUUCUGCAAAGGGAGAAAAAAGAGAAGGGAAUUACAAGUAGUGGUGGGGUAUACUGGGGUUGGGCAUAGAGCUAGCUCAAAAAGUCAGAAAUGGCUCUUGGUGGACAAGCACUUCUCGUCUUUCCCAACCACCCAUUGCUUAAUCUUAUACGAAAUGACCCAAUUGCUCUUGCCGAGAGAAAGUGGCACCUUUUUUGACAUUCCCCUACUUUGUAAAUCAAAGGUCAUUUUCGUGCAAGUUCGAGGUGAAAGGAGUUCAAAUAUGUGAGUCUCUGUGCAGAACACCCAAAUCCCCCCAACAGUGAAAGGCAGACAGGAUGGAGCCAGGCAAUUUCAGUUAUAAUUCCGUUCUUUCCAUUCGGUUGACGACGACGACGACGAUGAUGGUGAUGGUGAAUUCUGGUGCAUGUUAUUUCUCACUUUCCAUCGAUGGAAUUGGUUUCUGGACAGAUCCUUUAUAUAUGUGUGUGUGUGUGUGUGUGUGUGGUCUGGCUUUUCUAUUUCAUUUUUCUAGCCAGCUAGGGUCUUUAAGAUCUCCAUGAUCAUGACAACCGCAGUAAUGUAAUGGGAUGCAUGAGUUAUCUUUCUCUCCCUUCUAGCUAUUCUAAUAAUCUGGACAUGAAAAACAAUUUACUUAUUGUUCAUGGUGGGAAGCUAUGGCGUUCUGAAAAGUAAUAUUAUCUAAUCAUAUGUUCUAUAAUUACUGCGCUCCA